CUGUGGAGAAUUUUCAGAAGGAAGAAAGUGAGAGAGAUAUUUACUCUUCCAGGCAAAUGAUCCUUUGGAAUCUUGGAACCUAUUUCCAAAGCUUUAUAAUGCACACCAAAAAAAAUCUGACACUAAAGGGUUUGAUAUGAUUAGCUGAAGAACCUGCUUGGAACGGCUCCCUUCCACAUAGUAAGACUAAGUGUGAUCUUGUUCUUGCUUUAAUGAAGAAAUAGCAUGAUAAUGCAGCAAACACAAAAAGCACAUAGUGUUUUUCAGUAUCACCCUUGCAAAAAUCAAUUUUUUUCCUAGUUCUUAUACAUACAGCAUAAAUUGCACAGAAAUGUCAUGAUGGUAUAGGUACUGUUCUGAAUCUUGCUUUUUACUUUUAAUCACAGGCCUAUCAUUUUUUUCCCAUAUUGCCACAUAAUUUUAAAAAUUUUACUUUUU
rnacentral:lncRNA from 1 species